rnacentral:rRNA from 9 species
CCUGAUGCAGCAACGCCGCGUGAGGGAUGACGGCCUUCGGGUUGUAAACCUCUUUUAGUAGGGAAGAAGCGAAAGUGACGGUACCUGCAGAAAAAGCACCGGCUAACUACGUGCCAGCAGCCGCGGUAAUACGUAGGGUGCAAGCGUUGUCCGGAAUUAUUGGGCGUAAAGAGCUCGUAGGCGGUUUGUCGCGUCUGCUGUGAAAUCCCGAGGCUCAACCUCGGGCUUGCAGUGGGUACGGGCAGACUAGAGUGCGGUAGGGGAGAUUGGAAUUCCUGGUGUAGCGGUGGAAUGCGCAGAUAUCAGGAGGAACACCGAUGGCGAAGGCAGAUCUCUGGGCCGUAACUGACGCUGAGGAGCGAAAGCAUGGGGAGCGAACAGGAUUAGAUACCCUGGUAGUCCAUGCCGUAAACGUUGGGCGCUAGAUGUAGGGACCUUUCCACGGUUUCUGUGUCGUAGCUAACGCAUUAAGCGCCCCGCCUGGGGAGUACGGCCGCAAGGCUAAAACUCAAAGGAAUUGACGGGGGCCCGCACAAGCGGCGGAGCAUGCGGAUUAAUUCGAUGCAACGCGAAGAACCUUACCAAGGCUUGACAUACACCGGAAACGGCCAGAGAUGGUCGCCCCCUUGUGGUCG